UAGGUUUUGCUUCGGCCUAAUAUUAAACUCUAUCUUUAGCGCGCAUGCAAGUAUUAGCCUUCCAACAAGAGAAAAAUAAGCUAAAAGCUUAUGUAUUAAAUUUUUAGUUAGAUAACAAACCUUAAAAAGAAAACUUGUUAAUGCAGUGUAUAAUAUUUUAAUAACAGCGUAAGCUGGUUGAAGAAAUAGACAAUUUAGGUGGAUAAAAAUGUGCCAGCAUCCGCGGUUACACAUUUACCUAUAGUUUAAUUAAUAGGUUAGUGGUAUAUUAUGUUAGAGUAGAAAAAAAAAAAAUAAAAGUCURAUUUAUCAGAACUUUUUUUUUUCCUUAUACUCUUUUAAGUACCCCACGAGACUUUCAUAUAGGACUAGGAUUUGGUACCCUACUACUAAUAAGUGUAAAUAAAAAUACCAGGGUAUUACGAGCUGCUUGCUUAAAGCCUAAAAAGCUUGGCGGUCUUCUUUAAAACCAGGGGAGCUUGUCUUGUAAACGAUAAUCCGCGUUAUAUCUCACCUAUAAUUGAAAUCAGUUUGUAUACCCCCGUCUUGUUAACCACGAAAGUGUGAAAAAGUCAGCUAAAAAUAAUUUAAUUUUGACGUCAGGCCAAGGUGCAACCUAUAUAUAGGAAAAUGAUUAGCUACUUUAUACUUAAUAAAUAGAUAAAAAAAUAAAUAUUUUUUUUGAAAUAGUACUUGGUAGUAAUUAAAAAUUAAUAUAUUUUAAUGAAUAACCCUUAGAAGGUGCACAAAUCGCCCGUCGAUCCCCCUGGAUGGGGGAUAAGUCGUAACAUAGUAGGUUUACCUG
rnacentral:rRNA from 1 species